AAAAAAAAGAAAGAAAAUAAAUGCUCUAAGAGCUAUCACAUUUCUCCUAACAAGUUCAUCUGAUCAUUCAAAGUUUGGCUCAAAAAAAUUGUUUUUGAUACUUCUGAUUUGAUUUUUGGAACAGAAACUUUUGUUUAUUUUUUUCAAUGCCACUGUACAAUUUUAUUAACCAUUCAAGUAUAGCAGCAUCUGGUAAAAUUGAGACAGAAUUAGGAUUGAAAAAUGAAUAGAUAUUCAGAAUCUAACAAUUUGAAAAAAACCACUACAUACUCUUUUCACAAACAUGUUUUCACAGAGCCAAUACAGCACUAGCCAUUAACCCAGUACACCAAGUGUGCUGAAGUAGAAAAGAUGCAACUAGAAAAGUAGCUACACUAGAAAAACCAACACUUUAGAAAAAGAGUAAAACACUUUUAAUUUCUCCCUGUUAUCCCCUAAAACAACAUCUUACAGUCUAGACCCACUUUUAUAGUCCUUCAUCAGCUUCCAGAAUAUUUGUCAGGAUGGAAAAAAUAAAAUGACACUGGCCAGUACAGUCUCUGGAUAUUUAGGUAAGAAAAGGGAAGAAAGUCAGUUCUCAGAACAAAUUAGUCAGCUUCAGUUUCAUCAGCAUGAUCUUUGUGUUCUUUGUUCUUCCCCCCUUUUAAAGUGUUUAUCUUUCUUUUGCAAAAGCUCCAGUUUGGCAGGCAUUUGUGCCUCUCAGCUCUCUUUGUUAGCUUCCAUUUUGUGGGUCCGUUUCUCUUCCGCCAUUUUACUUUGUUAUUCUCUUCUAUUGAGAAGCACUCUUCUCCAGUUCUUUCACCUGAUUAUCAAAAGAAGCCACAGUGAAAUGAAGACAAGAGACCAGCAGUGUAUUCUACACAAUCCACCGGGGCAAUGCAAAUUGUACAACUUUCAACUCCAAAAUAUCUGGACCACUUUCCAGCCAGGCUUAUUCCCUCCCUGCCAAGCAGCUGCCUCCUACAGCAACAGAUUCAUUGCUCAAGAGCUUUACGUGCAACUAACUCUGAAUUGGAAGUAA
rnacentral:lncRNA from 1 species